CCCAGGCCCACAGGACAGGGCAUGGUUAAGCAUGGUGGCACACAUGCUUUUAAUCCCAGCACUCAGGAGGCAAAUGUAUGUGGAUCUCUGUGAGUUCAAGGCCAGGGCCAUGGGGAAGGCAGAUGGACUAUUGCCAGGAGCACUGCCCUGGUUAGAAGACUCUUCUUGUUCUGCAGCUCCCUCCACCAGCCCAGCCACGUGCGCAUCGUUGCGCGCGAGCAGCAGCUGACGCACACAGGGCUAGUAUCAGUGAAGGCCUCAGAGCCGCACGACUGUCCUCCCGGACUUCCGCCUCUCUGAGGGGGCCGACUCCUCGCACUCCACCAGCCACGAACGCCCACGAGAAACGAGGGAACAACACGCGUAACUCGCGGAGCCGGAGAGUGACCUUCCUCGGCGCGGCCUGGGGGCGAGGCUCGGAAGGCCCCGCCCUACGCCGCCAUUGGCUAAGUCCCCGUGUCCUUUCAAAACCUCGAUUUUCAUUGGCUUAUGCGGCCCCGCCCGCGCUGCCAGAGACAUAAGGGGGCCUCCGCCCGCGCGCGAGCUGCGCGUGCGCAGGGCCGGUGAGCGCGCUGUGGAAAGCCGUAGAACGCUGUGAUCCUCCGCGACUCUACUACGGCAAGCUAGUCCGGACGGGUCGCUGUCCCCAAGCUCCACCAGCCCUUGGUGAACCGACAGGGAGCGUCCGGCUUUCCCAGCACCACUUUGCCAGACUCAAAACAGCCACACCGCAAAGUGAGCCUCGGGCGGAAGGAGGCGGAGCUACAGGCGGCCCCGCCUCCGCGGAGGGAUACGUGUCUCCGCGGUCCAAAACCCCGGGGCGAGGCGGCCGGGGCGUGUGAGCCGCUCGGCCAGCUGCCGUCUACGGGCUUCCGCGCGGCCACCGGGCAACUGCGCCGCGCGGCUGCCCCACUGAGCGCUCGGCCUCGGGGCCGUGGGAUCGUAAAGCUCAGUCCUUCG
rnacentral:lncRNA from 1 species